rnacentral:tRNA from 1 species
ACGCGUAGCUCAGCUGGUUAGAGCGUUCGCCUCACACGCGAGAGGUCAAGGGUUCGAGUCCCUUCGAGUCC